ACGAACGCUGGCGGCAUGCCUAACACAUGCAAGUCGAACGAGACCUUCGGGUCUAGUGGCGCCCGGGUGCGUAACGCGUGGGAACCUGCCCUUAGGUUCGGAAUAACUCCCCGAAAGGGGUGCUAAUACCGGAUAAUGUCUUCGGACCAAAGAUUUAUCGCCUUUGGAUGGGCCCGCGUUGGAUUAGCUAGUUGGUAGGGUAAAAGCCUACCAAGGCGACGAUCCAUAGCUGGUCUGAGAGGAUGAUCAGCCACACUGGGACUGAGACACGGCCCAGACUCCUACGGGAGGCAGCAGUGGGGAAUAGUGGACAACGGGCGAAAGCCUGAUCCAGCAAUGCCGGGUGAGUGAUGAAGGCCUUAGGGUUGUAAAGCUCUUUUAACCGGGAUGAUAAUGACGGUACCGGGAGAAUAAGCUCCGGCUAACUCCGUG
rnacentral:rRNA from 1 species